rfam:Asian citrus Psyllid, Diaphorina citri - Florida Strain, whole genome shotgun sequence.
GGAUGCGAUAAUAGCACAUUGAAUGUAUCAGUUCAUAAUGGAUCACUGAAGUUAAGUAACGUUGCGCGUUGUUGGUAUUCGGUUGGGUGACCAUCUGGGCGACCUCGUUUUGCUAGUU